CGUUCCCGGGUCUUGUACACACCGCCCGUCACACCACGGGAGUUGGAGACGCCCGAAGCCGAUUAUCUAACCUUUUGGAAGAAGUCGUCGAAGGUGGAAUCAAUAACUGGGGUGAAGUCGUAACAAGGUAGCCGUAUCGGAAGGUGCGGCUGGAUCACCUCCUUUCUAAGGAGA
rnacentral:rRNA from 1 species